rnacentral:rRNA from 1 species
GUACAACUCUGAGCGGUGGAUCACUCGGCUCGUGUGUCGAUGAAGAGCGCAGCCAACUGUGUGAAUUAAUGUGAACUGCAUACUGCUUUGAACAUCGACAUCUUGAACGCAUAUUGCGGCCAUGGGUUAGCCUGUGGCCACGCCUGUCCGAGGGUCG